CAAAAGACUCUCGGCAACGGAUAUCUCGGCUCACGCAUCGAUGAAGAACGUAGCAAAAUGCGAUACUUGGUGUGAAUUGCAGAAUCCCGUGAACCAUCGAGUUUUUGAACGCAAGUUGCGCCCAAAGCCAUUUGGUUGAGGGCACGUCUGCAUGGGCGUCACGC
rnacentral:rRNA from 2 species